UGCCGAACAGCACAGCGCAGCGUCGCGCAGCCCGCCUGGAGCCCCCUCCCUCCCUCCUCCCUCCCUCCUUCCAUCCAUCCCUCCCUCUCUCCUCCUCCUCCCUCGCUCCCGCCCGCCCGCCCGCCGCUCUGAAGGAUGCCCGGUAAGUAGCGACGAGGACCGGCACCUCUGCCGGUGCGCGAUGUGAGGGGUUAGGGACUGCUUAUACCGCUGCCGCCCGCCGGGGGGGCGCAGGGCGGGGGGGCGAGGGGAGGGGAGGUGACAGCGAUCCGAGGCAGGAGACGGCGGGGCUCGCCGGGUGCUCCUCAGAAGGACUUUUAGCUGCGUGGCCGGGGCUUGGAUGUGGGCGCCGAGGGACGGGGUCUGUGCACCGCAGCGGGCACCGGCCGGGGCGGGGGCGCUUCGCCUGCGCUGCGGGUUGCUGCCUGCAGCACCGCGGUCCCACCUGGGGUGAAAACAUGGGAAGACAUCAGGCUCUCUACGGUGAUGACUCUCCUGUACAUGAUCUGGUGUGUGACAUGAGCUGGGCUCCCAGCAUGACUGCAGUGUUGGAAUCCCUUUGAGAUACUCAGGUAGGACAAAUUUUCAACAGCUGCCUUGGUAGCUAAUUAGCUCUAUCCAGGCUUUGAUAUUUGGUUCAGUCAGUACAUGAUGAAAAGACUUAUUUACAUAUUUUCCACCUGUUGCCUGUUUUUCUAUUAUCCUAGGGUUUCUGAAAGUGCAGUAUAAUGCCAAGCUUUCCCGGAGUGAUAGUGUGUUUGAAC
rnacentral:lncRNA from 1 species